UGAUCCUGCUCAGAACGACGCUGUGCAUGCUAAUACAUGCAGUCGAUCGAGAUAGUACUCGGGUGCGAGUAGAGUGCGCACGGGUGAGUAACGCGUAGGUGACGUGCCUAUUAGUGGGGGGACAACAUCGUGAAAACGGUGCUAAUACCGCAUAAGCUAAGUGAAAUUGAAAAAACUUAGGAAAGGGGGCUUCGGCUCUCGCUAGUAGAUCGGCCUGCGUAGCAUUAGCUUGUUGGUGGGGUAAUGGCCUACCAAGGCUACGAUGCUUAGCUGGUCUGAGAGGAUGAUCAGUCACACUGGAACUGAGACACGGUCCAGACUCCUACGGGAGGCAGCAGUAGGGAAUAUUGCGCAAUGGGGGAAACCCUGACGCAGCAAUGCCACGUGAGUGAGGAAUGCCUUCGGGUUGUAAAGCUCUGUCCUAUAGGAAGAACGGCAUUAUGGUUAAUACCCAUAGUGUUUGACGGUACUAUAGAAGAAAGCACCGGCUAACUCCGUGCCAGCAGCCGCGGUAAUACGGAGGGUGCAAGCGUUGUUCGGAUUUAUUGGGCGUAAAGCGCGCGCAGGCGGAUUUGUAAGUCAGAUGUGAAAUCUCGGGGCUCAACCCCGAAACUGCGUCUGAAACUAUAAGUCUAGAAUCUCAGAGGGGGCAGGGGAAUUUCACGUGUAGGGGUAAAAUCCGUAGAGAUGUGAAGGAACACCGGUGGCGAAGGCGCCUGCCUGGAUGAGUAUUGACGCUGAGGCGCGAAAGCGUGGGGAGCAAACAGGAUUAGAUACCCUGGUAGU
rnacentral:rRNA from 1 species